GCGCUACGAUUUGACACUUGGAGAACGUACUUUUUACUUACCUGCACCGUCUUAUCCCCAUUCAUUCCUCGGUCAGAGAGGGACUAAUAGUAAGCAGGCUGGUUUUAUGGGACCACGACUUCCUCCUCAUAUGAUUAAGGUAAUUUAGAGGAGUAGAGAAAGGGGGUGGGGAGCAGAUAAUGGCACUAAAUUGAUAGUGGAGUGUGGGAUUUCUAUUUGUUUUCAGCAUCUUAGUUUUAUUUUCCUUCCCUCUGCGCAGCUUUCUUCACAGCUCUUAUGCUACUAUUUAAAUACUCUCCUAAUACUUAAAUAAUUAAAACAACCUUUUUCCUAUCAGUGUCACUUUAGGUGAGACAGUGAAAUCCAUUUGUCUUAUAUCUGACCAACAGAACAAUUAUUUUGGGGCUUUAGGGGUAUGUUCGAAGGGGAAAAUAAGUGUAUUUGGGAGUAGCUCUCUGCAACAGUUGUUUGAAUGGGUUUCUAAAAUGACAUUCAUUUGAAAGCAUUAUGCAGUAAAAGGAAACUAGGAAAAAAACAUUUAUUGUGCUUGCCUAGAUAUAUUUGAAGGGUGGUGUUUUUUUCUUUUUAGGUGUUUAGACUAUUGGUCGAAUUUGCAUUUAUCCAUCUUGCAAUCUCUUCUUUUUAAACACAGAAUUCAAGUCGUUUAAAUGGAAAUGGAUCUUCAAAAGAGGAUGCCAGUACUGUUGGUGUCACCUUAAAAAGGCCAUCUUCAGCUCCACCCACAGCUUGUGUUCAAAACUGGGCAAUUACCAGGCCUUCAAUAACUAACCCAUCAAAAAAACAGAAAAUCACUAUCAGUAUUCAUAACAAAUUGCCUGCGCGUCAGACAGCGUCACAGCCUGACUGCCGUGCUCUGGAGGAGGAGGCGGAGCUAAACAAGUCUGUUCCUUCAUUCACAUUUACAGAUUCUUCUGCAGCAGAGUCUACCUCAAAUGCAUCAAUGUUAUUUGCUAAUAAUGUUUCCAAACAAGACGCUAUGGAUGAAAUCCUUUUUGAGCCAGUGUUGAAUGGAAAUCUUAAACUCAGCUCUGAUAAUCCAGUCUCUUAUGGUACAGAGCCUUCAGGAAAAUCAGAGUCGUCGUCCUUAUUUACAAGGAAUUGCAACAUAAUAUCUUCUAAUGGAAUUUUGAUUGGAAAAGUCUGUACAUUGCAGAAUUCCCAUUCUUCCUAUCAGAAUGCUGAAGAGGAAAGAUCCCAGCAUGAGCUGCCAACAAAUGAUACACUAAAUGGUGCUAAUAGUUUAGAUAAUGAGCCUAAAUUGAAUGGACUGAAACUUGAUGAUUCCAGUUGCCAAUUCCCACCUGCUAAACCUUCCGAAAUGUUAUUUUCUAAAACCAAUGGAGUGCUUGAAACAAUGCCUAUAGCUUUGUCUCCGGACCCUCAAGAAAUGAUCUUAGAUUCCUUUACAUACGGCCAGUUGAACAGCUUGUCAGAGGAAAUAAGUGUCCCUGGACCUCAGGAAUCUUCGGAGAACAAUUCUCUUAUGGAAACAGUAAUGAUGGAAGCUCUGUUGGUCUAUGAAGAAUCCAGGAAACUUCCUUCUGACUUGAGCCUUGAGGCUGGGAAUCUUUUUAUUCAACCAGAUUCUGAAACCAUUUUUACCAAAGAAGAAGUUGCUGAAGGUAUUAUAACAAAAGCUGAUAAUGCACAACCCAAUAUCAAUGGUCAGCACAAGGUUAGGAAAAGAUCCUUGGACAUUGAAGAUGCUUGCUGCUUACGAAAAAGGGAGAUAGAACGGAGAAGUUUUAAAGCCCUUAUUUUCCUGUGUUCCUAUGUUCUCUAG
rnacentral:lncRNA from 1 species